AGCAGCCGCGGUAAUUCCAGCUCCAAUAGCGUAUAUUAAAGUUGUUGCAGUUAAAAAGCUCGUAGUUGAAUUUCGGGGUCAGUAGGCUGGUCGUGCCACGGGUACGUACUGGUCUUACUGAUUCCUCCUUCCUGAUGAACCGUAAUGCCAUUAAUUUGGUGUUGCGGGGAAUCUGGACUGUUACUUUGAAAAAAUUAGAGUGUUUAAAGCAGGCUAACGCUUGAAUACAUUAGCAUGGAAUAAUGAAAUAGGACGAUCGAUCCUAUUUUGUUGGUUUCUAGGAUUGACGUAAUGAUUAAUAGGGAUAGUUGGGGGCAUUAGUAUUCAAUUGUCAGAGGUGAAAUUCUUGGAUUUAUUGAAGACUAACUACUGCGAAAGCGUUUGCCAAGGAUGUUUUCAUUAAUCAAGAACGAAAGUUAAGGGAUCGAAGACGAUCAGAUACGUCGUAGUCUUAACCAUAACUAUGCCGACUAGGGAUCGGAUGAUGUUAAUUUUUUAAUGUACUCUAUUCGCGUCCUUA
rnacentral:rRNA from 1 species